rnacentral:rRNA from 1 species
UCGUGACUGCGUGCCUUUUGAAGAAUGAGCCUGCGAGUUUGCGGUGUGUUGCGAGGUUAACCCGUGUGGGGAAGCCGUAGCGAAAGCGAGUCCGAAUAGGGCGGUGUAGUAGCGCGCUCAAGACCCGAAGCGGAGUGAUCUAGCCAUGGGCAGGUUGAAGCGGAGGUAAGACUUCGUGGAGGACCGAACCCACCAGGGUUGAAAACCUGGGGGAUGACCUGUGGUUAGGGGUGAAAGGCCAAUCAAACUCCGUGAUAGCUGGUUCUCCCCGAAAUGCAUUUAGGUGCAGCGUCGUGUGUUUCUUGCCGGAGGUAGAGCACUGGAUAGGCGAUGGGCCCUACCGGGUUACUGACCUUAGCCAAACUCCGAAUGCCGGUAAGUGAGAGCGCGGCAGUGAGACUGUGGGGGAUAAGCUCCAUGGUCGAGAGGGAAACAGCCCAGAGCAUCGACUAAGGCCCCUAAGCGUACGCUAAGUGGGAAAGGAUGUGGAGUCGCAGAGACAACCAGGAGGUUGGCUUAGAAGCAGCCAUCCUUGAAAGAGUGCGUAAUAGCUCACUGGUCAAGUGAUUCCGCGCCGACAAUGUAGCGGGGCUCAAGCGUACCGCCGAAGUCGUGUCAUUGCAGCAUGAGACCUAACGGUUGUUGUGAUGGGUAGGGGAGCGUCGUGUGCCGGGUGAAGCAGCACCGGAAGGUAGUUGUGGAUGGUUCACGAGUGAGAAUGCAGGCAUGAGUAGCGAUUCACACGUGGGAAACGUGUGCGCCGAUUGACUAAGGGUUCCUGGGUCAAGCUGAUCUGCCCAGGGUAAGUCGGGACCUAAGGCGAGGCCGACAGGCGUAGUCGAUGGACAACCGGUUGAUAUUCCGGUACCCGCUUUGAAGCGCCAGCGCUGAACCAGGCGAUGCUAAGUCCGUGAAGCCGCCCUGGAUCCUUCGGGUGAAGGGGAGUGGUGGAGCCGACGGUCCAGACCUGUAGUAGGUGAGUGAUGGGGUGACGCAGGAAGGUAGUCCAGCCCGGGCGGUGGUUGUCCCGGGGUAAGGGUGUAGCCCGAGGGGUAGGUAAAUCCGUCUCUCA